GCCAGCAGCCUUAUCACCCUGCAGCUCUCAACUGGCAGCCCACUGAAGCUCAGCAGGGUUGAGCCUGGCCAGUACCUGGGUGGGAGACCUCCUGGGAAGCUAUGGUUGCUGCUCGAA
rnacentral:rRNA from 1 species